GUGGGGAAUCUUCCGCAAUGGACGAAAGUCUGACGGAGCGACGCCGCGUGAGUGAAGAAGGCCUUCGGGUCGUAAAGCUCUGUCAUCAGGGACGAACGGCCGGUGGAGUGGAAAGCCACCGGAUUGACGGUACCUGAGAAGGAAGCCACGGCUAACUACGUGCCAGCAGCCGCGGUAAUACGUAGGUGGCAAGCGUUGUCCGGAAUUAUUGGGCGUAAAGCGCGCGCAGGUGGGAUCUUAAGUCCAUUUUGAAAGUUCGGAGCUCAACUCCGUGAUGGGAUGGAAACUGGGAUUCUUGAUUACCGGAGAGGAAAGCGGAAUUCCCCGUGUAGCGGUGAAAUGCGUAGAUAUGGGGAGGAACACCAGUGGCAAAGGCGGCUUUCUGGACGGUGUCUGACACUGAGGCGCGAAAGCUAGGGGAGCGAACGGGAUUAGAUACCCGGGUAGUCC
rnacentral:rRNA from 1 species